AGGUCAUGAUGAGGACACUUUUGCAAUAAAUUCUUGUAUCUCUCCCAUGCCUCAUAUAAUGAUUCACCCUUACAUUGAGCGAAGGUAGUAAUAUCAUUCCUUAACUU